rnacentral:rRNA from 1 species
UGAGGAAUAUUGGUCAAUGGACGAGAGUCUGAACCAGCCAAGUAGCGUGAAGGAUGACUGCCCUAUGGGUUGUAAACUUCUUUUAUACGGGAAUAAAGUUAGCCACGUGUGGCUUUUUGUAUGUACCGUAUGAAUAAGGAUCGGCUAACUCCGUGCCAGCAGCCGCGGUAAUACGGAGGAUCCGAGCGUUAUCCGGAUUUAUUGGGUUUAAAGGGAGCGUAGGCGGGUUGUUAAGUCAGUUGUGAAAGUUUGCGGCUCAACCGUAAAAUUGCAGUUGAUACUGGCGACCUUGAGUGCAACAGAGGUAGGCGGAAUUCGUGGUGUAGCGGUGAAAUGCUUAGAUAUCACGAAGAACUCCGAUUGCGAAGGCAGCUUGCUGGACUGUAACUGACGCUGAUGCUCGAAAGUGUGGGUAUCAAACAGGAUUAGAUACCCUGGUAGUCCACACAGUAAACGAUGAAUACUCGCUGUUUGCGAUAUACAGUAAGCGGCCAAGCGAAAGCGUUAAGUAUUCCACCUGGGGAGUACGCCGGCAACGGUGAAACUCAAAGGAAUUGACGGGGGCCCGCACAAGCGGAGGAACAUGUGGUUUAAUUCGAUGAUACGCGAGGAACCUUACCCGGGCUUGAAUUGCAACUGAAUGAUGUGGAGACAUGUCAGCCGCAAGGCAGUUGUGAAGGUGCUGCAUGGUUGUCGUCAGCUCGUGCCGUGAGGUGUCGGCUUAAGUGCCAUAACGAGCGCAACCCUUAUCGAUAGUUACCAUCAGGUUAUGCUGGGGACUCUGUCGAGACUGCCGUCGUAAGAUGUGAGGAAGGUGGGGAUGACGUCAAAUCAGCACGGCCCUUACGUCCGGGGCUACACACGUGUUACAAUGGGGGGUACAGAAGGCAGCUACACGGCGACGUGAUGCUAAUCCCUAAAGCCUCUCUCAGUUCGGAUUGGAGUCUGCAACCCGACUCCAUGAAGCUGGAUUCGCUAGUAAUCGCGCAUCAGCCACGGCGCGGUGAAUACGUUCCC